AUACUCCCAGUCUAUAUGGGGGGAGUUCGGUGGCCCAUAAUGUCGGCAUAAAAGAGAGAUGUAACAUAGAUUAAAAAAAAACCGCACUUCAUGUGAUCUAUGUUUUAAUUAUUUGAUGCAUUUGAUAAAUUAUUCAAAUUCAAAGAAUAGUUUUAAGUUACUAGCAGGAAGCAUAAAGUUUCCAAUUUUCAAUUUCUCUAUGAACUAGAUAAAUGUGUGCAUUUUGAUUCUUAUUUCGCUAAGUCAUCUGAUUAUAAAAAUAUUUGUAAAUUAAAAUAAUUUAUAUACAGCAUGUUUUAAAACAUUACGAAAAUUCUCAUUUAUCUAUGUACAUGCCAACGAUGUGCAUGAGUCUAUUAAUCUAUACAUUCUUUGGCAAAUCCAAAGUGAAUUGUAUCUAAGUUUUGAGUGAGGUCAUUAAGCUGAAGGAAACUUUAUUGUCCAAAAUACUCUCAACGUUGUAUUAGGGAAGAAAACAAGAAGAUUAGAAUGAGUUAGAAUAAAUUAGAUAAAAUAAACAGAGGAACUGUUCAUUCUUUCUAUUUCGCCAUAUGGGAAACAGCGUAAUCAUUGUUGGUUCGCAUUUUACAAAGUUGCUUUUCAGCUGUAAUUUUAAAUGACCAAAAGACAAAGUUUCAAGUUUGUUGAACAGGUUAGAUCAAAUUCAUGCUUUUCUCUAUUUGUAAGCUUCACGAUAAGUUUCUCGCACACACAUGCAUCAGCCGGGAAUAAAAGGUCAGACAUUCUAUAUUCGACAUACAUUACACAGUGAAAAUAACUAAGAUUUUUAAUUUUCACUUCUCACUUUCUAGUCGAAAGUAACCAUAAAUUUAAAAAGACAGAAAAAUUUUAUAGAACCAUCAUAUUGAUCCAUCAUGGUCAACUUCAAAGAUUCGACUCCAUCACACGAUAUGUUUCAGUGAUGGAAUACAUUGAAAAAGUAGAUACACUGAAGUAUUCGUUGGCGGUUUAAAGACCUCCAGAAGUCAACUCUCGAGUGGUUUUCCCAUCACUCUCUUCCGCCUUCCUUUUUGACCUUUCGGCUUCAUCUUUCUCUUCUUCUUCCAGAUGUCGGUAAUAUUCAAGUACAUUAGGCAAUAUCGUAUCUAUGUCUUCAUCUUUUCCGGGAUACAGCAGUUCCUGUACAUAGACAGCACGCAAAGUUAAUAAGAUUAGGAUAAUCCACACGAUAGUGAUGGUGACACCACAAACCUGGCCGACAAUACAAACAGCCUUUGAAUCUAUGGCUCUCCCCAAUUCUUGAACAUCCAUAACCAGUCCCACAUUGGCAAAAAUCAUGGCAAACCAACUGACUUUAAAUUUAAUUCGUUGUCGUGUACAGAAUCCAGCAACAACGGACACAAAUGCAAGACAGAAGUUGAAAAUACCCAGUCCUAUCAUGAAUAAAGCCAUAAAAGUUGCAACAAACUCUAAGUAUUCAGAAGAAUUAUCUCCAACAAAAAUAUAGGGACGUUUUGCUUUUGCACCAAAAGCGAGAUCAAGCAAAGUAAGGCCAGUAAAAGAAGGAGGGCUGACGAGAAUGAACAUACCAGGUCGAUCAGCAGCGGGCUGUAGGCCAACGGUAAAAAAUCUGCACAUGUUCACAGCAUAAACAAUGAUAUAAAUCCAAAAACCAAGGCCUUGAAAUGCAAUACCUGCCACUACCAUAUUUUUAGCUUGUCUAGCCGGUUGCGACUCAACAAUAGCACUAGCAAUAACACCACAAAUCAUACAAGGAAAGAUGGGUAAAACCAGGGCAGGUAUGAUAGUAUUGAUGCGGAAAGGGUGUGCAUGAAAAAGAGAAUAAAAAAGUGAAAUCACAAAGAUGCAAGCAACUGCAACGAAUAUCCAAUAUAAAAUUCGAAUUAACCAUACCAUCCAUUCACCAGUGUAAGGAAAGGCGUAUGGAUAUAAAUUACUGAUAGAGGUAGCAAUUGCCAGUAAAGCAGUAGGCAUGAAUAAUACCUCUGAAGGAUUUUUCCAUGUUUUACUAAGAGUACCCGGGUAGCGGAUGAAACGAAACGUGAUGCAGCAAAUGUAUAACGUUAGGAUAGAUAAUUGGAAAAUAAAAAUGAUUUUUCCUAAAGUAUUAAGACCGUAAAACCGAAAAUGGUACAGACUAGUAACCAUACCUAUACCGC
rnacentral:lncRNA from 1 species